CGGCCAAGCUGGCUGAGGGCUUGGCAGCGAACCUAGGAGGGGCACAGAGGGUCACAGUGAGCGGGAGGCCUGGGGCCAGGCAGCCGGGGGGCCUUGCGGAGUUCAUCCCGGCAUCUGUGGGAAGCGCGGAAGAUGCGGAGCAAGGAGCCGUCAGAGGGACAGGGCAGGGGAGAGCCUCAGCCCCAGGCCAGUGAGAGGAGCCAGUGCCCAGCUCUUCCCGCCCCUGGAGCCACUGGAGGGGCCUUCGAUUCCAUGAGGACCGAAGCCUGA
rnacentral:lncRNA from 1 species